rnacentral:rRNA from 1 species
GGUUAAGCGACUAAGCGUACACGGUGGAUGCCCUGGCAGUCAGAGGCGAUGAAGGACGUGCUAAUCUGCGAUAAGCGUCGGUAAGGUGAUAUGAACCGUUAUAACCGGCGAUUUCCGAAUGGGGAAACCCAGUGUGUUUCGACACACUAUCAUUAACUGAAUCCAUAGGUUAAUGAGGCGAACCGGGGGAACUGAAACAUCUAAGUACCCCGAGGAAAAGAAAUCAACCGAGAUUCCCCCAGUAGCGGCGAGCGAACGGGGAGCAGCCCAGAGUCUGAAUCAGUGUGUGUGUUAGUGGAAGCGUCUGGAAAGGCGCGCGAUACAGGGUGACAGCCCCGUACACAAAAAUGCACAUGCUGUGAGCUCGAUGAGUAGGGCGGGACACGUGGUAUCCUGUCUGAAUAUGGGGGGACCAUCCUCCAAGGCUAAAUACUCCUGACUGACCGAUAGUGAACCAGUACCGUGAGGGAAAGGCGAAAAGAACCCCGGCGAGGGGAGUGAAAAAGAACCUGAAACCGUGUACGUACAAGCAGUGGGAGCACGCUUAGGCGUGUGACUGCGUACCUUUUGUAUAAUGGGUCAGCGACUUAUAUUCUGUAGCAAGGUUAACCGAAUAGGGGAGCCGAAGGGAAACCGAGUCUUAACUGGGCGUUAAGUUGCAGGGUAUAGACCCGAAACCCGGUGAUCUAGCCAUGGGCAGGUUGAAGGUUGGGUAACACUAACUGGAGGACCGAACCGACUAAUGUUGAAAAAUUAGCGGAUGACUUGUGGCUGGGGGUGAAAGGCCAAUCAAACCGGGAGAUAGCUGGUUCUCCCCGAAAGCUAUUUAGGUAGCGCCUCGUGAACUCAUCUCCGGGGGUAGAGCACUGUUUCGGCAAGGGGGUCAUCCCGACUUACCAACCCGAUGCAAACUGCGAAUACCGGAGAAUGUUAUCACGGGAGACACACGGCGGGUGCUAACGUCCGUCGUGAAGAGGGAAACAACCCAGACCGCCAGCUAAGGUCCCAAAGUCAUGGUUAAGUGGGAAACGAUGUGGGAAGGCCCAGACAGCCAGGAUGUUGGCUUAGAAGCAGCCAUCAUUUAAAGAAAGCGUAAUAGCUCACUGGUCGAGUCGGCCUGCGCGGAAGAUGUAACGGGGCUAAACCAUGCACCGAAGCUGCGGCAGCGACGCUUAUGCGUUGUUGGGUAGGGGAGCGUUCUGUAAGCCUGUGAAGGUGUGCUGUGAGGCAUGCUGGAGGUAUCAGAAGUGCGAAUGCUGACAUAAGUAACGAUAAAGCGGGUGAAAAGCCCGCUCGCCGGAAGACCAAGGGUUCCUGUCCAACGUUAAUCGGGGCAGGGUGAGUCGACCCCUAAGGCGAGGCCGAAAGGCGUAGUCGAUGGGAAACAGGUUAAUAUUCCUGUACUUGGUGUUACUGCGAAGGGGGGACGGAGAAGGCUAUGUUGGCCGGGCGACGGUUGUCCCGGUUUAAGCGUGUAGGCUGGUUUUCCAGGCAAAUCCGGAAAAUCAAGGCUGAGGCGUGAUGACGAGGCACUACGGUGCUGAAGCAACAAAUGCCCUGCUUCCAGGAAAAGCCUCUAAGCAUCAGGUAACAUCAAAUCGUACCCCAAACCGACACAGGUGGUCAGGUAGAGAAUACCAAGGCGCUUGAGAGAACUCGGGUGAAGGAACUAGGCAAAAUGGUGCCGUAACUUCGGGAGAAGGCACGCUGAUAUGUAGGUGAAGUCCCUCGCGGAUGGAGCUGAAAUCAGUCGAAGAUACCAGCUGGCUGCAACUGUUUAUUAAAAACACAGCACUGUGCAAACACGAAAGUGGACGUAUACGGUGUGACGCCUGCCCGGUGCCGGAAGGUUAAUUGAUGGGGUCAGCGCAAGCGAAGCUCUUGAUCGAAGCCCCGGUAAACGGCGGCCGUAACUAUAACGGUCCUAAGGUAGCGAAAUUCCUUGUCGGGUAAGUUCCGACCUGCACGAAUGGCGUAAUGAUGGCCAGGCUGUCUCCACCCGAGACUCAGUGAAAUUGAACUCGCUGUGAAGAUGCAGUGUACCCGCGGCAAGACGGAAAGACCCCGUGAACCUUUACUAUAGCUUGACACUGAACAUUGAGCCUUGAUGUGUAGGAUAGGUGGGAGGCUUGGAAGUGUGGACGCCAGUCUGCAUGGAGCCGACCUUGAAAUACCACCCUUUAAUGUUUGAUGUUCUAACGUUGACCCGUAAUCCGGGUUGCGGACAGUGUCUGGUGGGUAGUUUGACUGGGGCGGUCUCCUCCUAAAGAGUAACGGAGGAGCACGAAGGUUGGCUAAUCCUGGUCGGACAUCAGGAGGUUAGUGCAAUGGCAUAAGCCAGCUUGACUGCGAGCGUGACGGCGCGAGCAGGUGCGAAAGCAGGUCAUAGUGAUCCGGUGGUUCUGAAUGGAAGGGCCAUCGCUCAACGGAUAAAAGGUACUCCGGGGAUAACAGGCUGAUACCGCCCAAGAGUUCAUAUCGACGGCGGUGUUUGGCACCUCGAUGUCGGCUCAUCACAUCCUGGGGCUGAAGUAGGUCCCAAGGGUAUGGCUGUUCGCCAUUUAAAGUGGUACGCGAGCUGGGUUUAGAACGUCGUGAGACAGUUCGGUCCCUAUCUGCCGUGGGCGCUGGAGAACUGAGGGGGGCUGCUCCUAGUACGAGAGGACCGGAGUGGACGCAUCACUGGUGUUCGGGUUGUCAUGCCAAUGGCACUGCCCGGUAGCUAAAUGCGGAAGAGAUAAGUGCUGAAAGCAUCUAAGCACGAAACUUGCCCCGAGAUGAGUUCUCCCUGACUCCUUGAGAGUCCUGAAGGAACGUUGAAGACGACGACGUUGAUAGGCCGGGUGUGUAAGCGCAGCGAUGCGUUGAGCUAACCGGUACUAAUGAACCGUGAGGCUUAACCUU